rnacentral:rRNA from 1 species
GCCAGUGGCAUUGCCCGGUAGCUAUGUUCGGACAGGAUAACCGCUGAAAGCAUCUAAGCGGGAAGCCCCCUUCAAGAUGAGAUUUCCCUUAGGACUCGAUCCUACUAAAGUGCCGUUCAAGACGAGGACGUUGAUAGGCUGGGUGUGUAAGCGCUGCGAGGCGUUGAGCUAACCAGUACUAAUUGCACGUGAGGCUUGACCAUAUAA